rnacentral:misc_RNA from 1 species
GAUGAAGAACGUAGCGAAAUGCGAUAAGUAAUGUGAAUUGCAGAAUUCAGUGAAUCAUCGAAUCUUUGAACGCACAUUGUGCCCCCUGGUAUUCCGGGGGGCAUGCCUGUUCGAGCGUCAUUUCACCACUCAAGCCUCGCUUGGUAUUGGGCAUCGCGGUCCGCCGCGCGCCUCAAAUCGACCGGCUGGGUCUUCUGUCCCCUAAGCGUUGUGGAAACUAUUCGCUAAAGGGUGUUCGGGAGGCUACGCCGUAAAACAACCCCAUUUCUAAGGUUGACCUCGGAUCAGGUAGGGAUACCCGCUGAACUUAAGCAUAUCAAUAAGCGGAGGA